rnacentral:sRNA from 2 species
UGCCGCAUUUUUUAAAUAGUUUUGAAAAAGUAAGCCAUGUUGGACAAAAGCCAGGCCGCGGGCCACUAGGCACCCUUUGAAGGAGAUAAGUGCUCCUGGUAGAGACAUGCUACAUGGAGUAAAUGAACGUUAGCAUCGCGAUCAUACAUUCUCCAGCACGCAAAUCCAGACUCCAGCUGUAUUUUCGUACUGAUAUCUGCUCCAACUAUUCAAGUCCUUUGCAAACAGGACUUCACUGACCAAUACAUCGUUUCUCUCCCCGAUGCUGAGCCACUACCACCUUUAUCCCCAUCUUCGGUGCGUGUAAAAACAUACAUAUUUUCUCUCACAACGAACAAUAUAAGGUGAAUUUUUGGAUGCCGGAGGGAUUCCUGGACUAUCUACGAAGAUGCAGCAAGGAAUGGGGGCUGUGGCGGAAGGGUGGGAUGCCCUGUGUUCUGGAGGCCCUGGGCCGGAAACCGGCUUGGUGUUCAAACUAGACUGAUGUUUUUGUCGCGUCUUCCACUUUCAAUGCUCAAUGGCGAAUAAAUAGGGCCGUUCGCUUCCUUUCAAGUUCCUCAGCCUCUUGUAGAUAGAGAGCUCUACGGCACAUCUCUCCCCCGUGUAACCUUUCAAUUAGCUGGAGUGUUGGAGCAUGUGACCUGCCAAACCCUACGUUGCCCCUGGAGCAUCCAUGACGAGACUUCGACGCAAAACCUGGAGCUUAGUAUACAACAACUGGUGUGCUCUGGUUCUGAGGAAAUUGGGAUGUUCGACAACUAUAUACGGAGCAGUGCAGCAAAGCCUUUGCACAUAGAAGAAACUCAUAUUAGA